GAGAAAAACAAAACAACAGUUUCAUGCUAAAACCAAACACUCUACAUUUUGCACAGCUUGGCUCAUUUAAUAAUAGUUAUUAAGCUAGUCUGCUUCCUUGUGCCUAUUGAAAAAUUUCAUCCCUAUAGCACAAUCAUUACACUGUAGCAAGAAGAGUGUCCCUAAGUAAUGUAUUUAUGAUCUUACCUUGCACAUUACCCUUUUAAGGACCACAAAAUAAAACAAAAUUCCACGCAAUGAUAAAGAUUGUGAAGCAGUGACCAGUCAAGCACAUUUCAGGUGGAGAAACAGGUGGUUACAGAGAAGGGCUACAGCAAAUAAUGCCAGGUGCCCAGCCAGGCGAGGCUACAGACCAGAGCCAUUCAGUACCUCUGUGAGCUGCUCCUGCUGAGUCUGAUAGAGCCCAGCCAGCUGAGGUGGGUCAAUAAGAAAGAGAAGCUUCAGCUGUAUAAUCUGCAACAGAGUGGUGGUUGUGUGCUUGGACCUAUGAGAGCCAGGGGUGGGGGAGCAGAAGAGCAUCUCUUGAAUGGAAAGAAAAAAUGAUAUGAUUUCACAGAGUGCAUUUUUUCUUAUCAAUCCUUAUGAGCUGUUCACACUAAUCCUGCAGAGCCAUGCCAGCUUCUGCAAAUAAUCAAUUAAAAUUAAUGGUGUUUUUAUUUUCAUCAUUUUUCCGGUUCAUCAAGCUGUUACAAAAAUGCCCAAGCAAAAUAAAUCAGUCCAGCUUGCCUUCCAUUGCAGUUCUUACCAACUCGAUGCUCCACAGCCAUAACUGUCUUCUAGUGAGGAGGCUCUGCAGUGUGAUUCCCAGUCAUUUCUCUUAGGCUUGUUAAAAGUUAUGAGUGUUGGAUAUUUUUUCCCACCUUGUUAAUCCAUGCAGCGACAAUGGAGGUUGCAUUUGGGCAGAAAUGCGUGAUCAUUCCUGCCUGGGUUCAGCUUUUCCCACUGUUUUUCUGUUGGAACACCUUACGAGUCACUUGUCUUUCUUCUCACUUGAUACGAAAAGAUAUUUAAGCUUGUUACGUUUUGUAAAAAAAAAAAAAAAAAAGAACAAAUGAAAACGAACAAAAAAAUGAGGUUGAUUUUCUAUUCAGAAAACAAAAAGCUCUGAUAAACAAUAUGUAGAAGUACCGUAUUGUUACUGUAGACUUUCUAGUAGUGUAAUAGCCACUGGUUAUCAGUCAGUACAAAUGAGAACUUUCUCUCUCACCUCACGAAUAAUAUUGCUGAACUGAAAGCACAGACAUUGCUCCACUUUUGUAGACCUCAACUAUCAGAUCCUAGCAUUGUGUGUACAUUAUUUUUUUCUAACAUACGGACUGUAGAAACUUUACACGUAAUACAAGAGAAAAGUUAGGGGCAUAACAGAUGUACAGUAGGACUCUGUGUGUGCAGCAUACCAUUUAAAACAGAAUCUUGUUUGAUUGCGUUCUUAGAUUUCCUUCAUCGUUUUUGUUUGCUGUGGAUAAUUACAAAAAAGCUACCAUGAAUAUUUCUUACCAAAGUCUUGUGUAGGUGUUUUGUAGCUGUCUGGCUAACACAUUAUUAUUUUGGAAUAAAGACAUCUUUACUAUGAAAUGUGCAAUUGUAUGUGAUUCUGUUCCACCAGUAUAAUUACGUACACCCCAAAAAGCCAACCAUGCACUAAUCGUCACAAGGAAUCAAGCCA
rnacentral:lncRNA from 1 species